AAAGGAGUAGUCCUAUGUGAUUCACAAGACUGAGUUCAGAAAGUCUCUUACCAGAACAACUGUAAAUACUAGAAAAGAGUUUCCACAAGAUUCACAGAUGAACUCAAGUCUAGCCAAUAUGGCAAAUGACUAAUGAUGGAGUUUGACGAGUUCUUCAUGACCUCCGUUUAGUCAAAACUUACGAUAGAGAGAUUGUAUCACAUGAUAACUAUAUCUAGAGGUUCAUCUAUUCUGUUGGGUUGCCACUACAUGCUGCUAGACAUCACUGGUGGAUCAUGAGAACUCAUUACGAUUAUUUUUCAAUCAAUGAUCC
rnacentral:lncRNA from 1 species